UACGGAGGGUGCGAGCGUUGUCCGGAAUCACUGGGCGUAAAGGGCGCGUAGGCGGCUUGCCAAGCGUGUGGUGAAAGCCCGGGGCUCAACCCCGGGUCGGCCGUGCGGACUGGCGUGCUCGAGCACUGUAGGGGCGGGUGGAAUUCCGGGUGUAGCGGUGGAAUGCGUAGAGAUCCGGAAGAACACCGGUGGCGAAGGCGGCCCGCUGGGCAGGAAGGCUCGCAAGAGCCGGCUGACGCUGAGGCGCGACAGCGUGGGGAGCAAACAGG
rnacentral:rRNA from 1 species